GUCUCUUUUAUUAUUUUUUAUGGCAUCUUAAAACAUAUACUUCCAUUUAGAACUAGGUUUACAGUGCAGAGCUUUUUUUCCCGCUGCCUUUAAACGCCUCACAGCUCCCGGUGACCCUGGUUAAUCAAUGUGACCUGUGUUCCAGGCUCAGUGCUGCCUUCACUGACCUCUCUGUGUGACCUGUGUUCCAGGCUCAGUGCUGCCUUCACUGACCUCUCUGGUGACCUGUGUUCCAGCUCCGUGCUGCCUUCACUGACCUCUCUGUGUGACCUGUGUUCCAGGCUCAGUGCUGCCUUCACUGACCUCUCUGUGUGACCUGUGUUCCAGGCUCAGUGCUGCCUUCAUGACCUCUCUGUGUGACCUGUGUUCCAGGCUCCGUGCUGCCUUCACUGACCUCUCUGUGUGACCUGUGUUCCAGGCUCAGUGCUGCCUUCACUGACCUCUCUGUGUGACCUGUGUUCCAGGCUCCGUGCUGCUUCACUGACUCCUCUCUGUGUGUGUAAUUCCAGGCUCUGCGGCGCUCUGUGGUGGUGGAGAUGGUCGGUAAUGUCAAAGCUCUGCUCAGUGAGACGGAGCUGCUGCUGUCGGGAAACAUGUCUCUGCAGUUGGAGGCGUCUCAUCAGGACCCAGCUCUCCUCGGCGAUGGGCUCGCUCUCCGCUCAGGUGCGGAGGCUGUCGGACGUGUCCUGGCUCUGCCCGUCAUCGACCCGUCAGACUCAGAGGGGGCGCUGUCGGACUUCUCCAAACGCGGCCGCAGCGCCAAGUUCCGCCUCGUGCCCAAGUUCAAGAAGGACAAGAACAACAAGAACCGAGAGACGAGCGCCAGCCUCUCCCAGCCAGUGCACCUGUGGGGGACGGAGGAGGUGGGGGCGUGGCUGGAGGCGCUGUGUCUGUCGGAGUAUAAGGACAUCUUCAGCGGCCACGACGUCAGGGGGGCGGAGCUACUGUCGCUGGAGCGCCGCGACCUCAGGUAAUUAUGACCUCAUUAUGACCUCGAGGUAUUUCCAUUUUUCAUUUACAGAUUUGACGCCGUUUAUGACGAUCAC
rnacentral:lncRNA from 1 species